AUGCAAGUCGAACGGUAAGGGCGACUGCCUUCGGGUAGUUGGUACACGAGUGGCGCAGGGGUGAGUAACGCGUGGGUAAUCUGCCUUCGGGUUUGGGACAACUCCGGGAAACUGGAGCUAAUACCAAAUAAGACCACGAGGUCUUCGGACCUUGGGGAAAAAGGUGGCCUCUUCUUGAAAGCUAUCGCCUGUUGAUGAGCCCGCGUCCCAUUAGCUUGUUGGUGAGGUAACGGCUCACCAAGGGAUCGAUGGGUAGCUGGUCUGAGAGGAUGAUCAGCCACACUGGAACUGAGACACGGUCCAGACUCCUACGGGAGGCAGCAGUUGGGAAUCUUGCACAAUGGGCGAAAGCCUGAUGCAGCAACGCGGCGUGAGGGAUGAAGGCCCUCGGGUCGUAAACCUCGUCGGAAGGGAAGAAGGUAUUCCCGGGGCAAUACUCCGGGAUAUUGACGGUACCCUUCAAAGGAAGGCGCCGGCUAACUCCCGUGCCAGCAGCCCGCGGUAAUACGGAGGGCGCGAGGCGUUAUUCGGAAUCAUUGGGCGUAAAGCGCGUGUAGGCGGCUGGGUAAGUCGGAUGUGAAAGCCCCGGGGCUCAACCCCGGAAUUGCAUUCGAAACUGUCCAGCUAGAGUCUCGGAGAGGAGGGCGGAAUUCCCGGUGUAGAGGUGAAAUUCGUAGAUAUCGGGAGGAA
rnacentral:rRNA from 1 species